rnacentral:rRNA from 1 species
UGAUCCUGGCUCAGAUUGAACGCUGGCGGCAGGCCUAACACAUGCAAGUCGAGCGGUAACAGAGAGUAGCUUGCUACUUUGCUGACGAGCGGCGGACGGGUGAGUAAUGCUUGGGAACAUGCCUUGAGGUGGGGGACAACAGUUGGAAACGACUGCUAAUACCGCAUAAUGUCUACGGACCAAAGGGGGCUUCGGCUCUCGCCUUUAGAUUGGCCCAAGUGGGAUUAGCUAGUUGGUGAGGUAAUGGCUCACCAAGGCGACGAUCCCUAGCUGGUUUGAGAGGAUGACAGCCACACUGGACAGGA